rnacentral:rRNA from 1 species
AUGGCCUGCGAGCACACAGGCCAGGGCCGACCAUGGCUUACGAGCUCGAGGCAUGUUACAACUCCAAAUUUUGCUUCCAUAUUUGUUUUUGCUGGAAACAGUGUACUAAUUUGUUACCAUCAUCUUCGUUUUUUUCUGGAACUAACCAAAUUUUGCUGCCAUGUCUUUUUGCUGGAAUCAUUUUGUACCACUUUUUUGUUACAACAGUUUUGGUUUUUUGCUACUAUCGGCACUGCCGUUUGUUACAUCCUUUUUCAUGAGGUUGUCGAGACCCUGCAACUAUGUGUUUUGCUACAACCUUGUACACUUUUUGCUACAACCUUGUGCAUUUUUUGCUACUACCAGAGAAGCCCCUAG